GGUGGUCGAAUGAUGAUUACAAAGCAUAGUUCAGAUGAAUCUCUGUGAUUAUCACAUUUAAGUCUUUCGCUCCUAUCUGACGACCAAC
rfam:Morus notabilis contig16832, whole genome shotgun sequence.